rnacentral:rRNA from 1 species
UGAGGAACAUGACCUUCGGCGGGGGAUAGCCGGCCCAACGGCCGGGUAAUACCGCGUACGACCACAUGGGGACAUCCCUGAGUGGUGAAAGCAGCAAUGCGCCGAUGGAGUGCCUCGCGGCCUAUCAGCUAGUUGGUGAGGUAACGGCUCACCAAGGCAACGACGGGUAGCUGGUCUGAGAGGAUGGCCAGCCACAUUGGGACUGAGAUACGGCCCAGACCUNUACGGGA